CCAUACCCAUCAGCCACCCUGUGUCCUCCCCAUCACUUACACCUGCAACCUCCACAAUUAUAGUCUCCAAUCUGCACUCUUCUAUCUAUUAGAAACAUACUUCACUCAUUUUGAAAAUUUUCAUCGGCUCCCCAAAAUCAUUUCGACAGAAUCCAGCGUACAAGUAAGAUUUCCAAAUCAGUUCCUUUACAUUCUUCUCGUAUGAAUAAGAGCCUUCAUUUCAAUAGUAUUCAUAUCUAUGAACUUUCCUUUCCAGCAAACAAACAGGAUCAAACACUCACUGAAAUUUCUCACAAGAUAACCACUUGACUUCGUUUUACCUCUGGUCAUAGAUCGAGCUUCAAGCUUCAAGCUUGUUCAAAACCAUAUACAAAUUUGACAUAUACACAGCAACACAUUUCAAGUGUUUCAAUAGAAUGACAUUCAUAUAUACACAUAUGCAUACACUGCUUAUAUAUAUAUUACAAGCAUAACUUUUAAAAGAAAAGAAAAAGAAAGGUAGAAGAAGAGAUUUGAUGUAUGUUGAAAAAAAUGGAGUCUUGAGCCUUGUUGCGCUUGUUGAGUCGGGUUGCUGCCCCUGUUUUGGUACAAGGGUCGAGACCUUGCAGUGUUGUGUUUCUGCUGGGUUGAGUUAGUGGAGGGAAGGAGAGAGUCGACGGCGGCAGCCAUGGCUGCUGUCGCCGGAAGUUUUUUUUGAGGGAGUUCAGGCGGCGGUGGUGGAAAUCUGCCACUGACCGAGGAGAUUGAGAGACGGAGGGAGGCGGCAGCGGUGGUCUUCGCCGUUGUCAAGGAGGGACGACGGUGGUCGACGGCGGCUUCUCGUCGGAAGGGGAAAUCGCCGGGCAGAAAUGAGGGAGAGAGAUUUGCGGAUGUUGAGUGAGAGGGAGCGAACGAGUCCAGUGGGACAGAGGGAGAGAGAGGGGGGGGGGGUCGCAGUCGACGGCGGCUUGUCGCCGCUGCUCCUCCGGCGAACGUUCGCGGCGGCGCCGCUGCGUGUCUGGUGUGAGUGUGAGGGGAGUGGCUGAACCAAGAGAGGAGGGG
rnacentral:lncRNA from 1 species